rnacentral:rRNA from 1 species
AGCGAACGCUGGCGGCAGGCCUAACACAUGCAAGUCGAACGAACUCUUCGGAGUUAGUGGCGGACGGGUGAGUAACACGUGGGAACGUGCCUUUUGGUUCGGAAUAACUCAGGGAAACUUGUGCUAAUACCGAAUGUGCCCUUCGGGGGAAAGAUUUAUCGCCAUUAGAGCGGCCCGCGUCUGAUUAGCUAGUUGGUGAGGUAACGGCUCACCAAGGCGACGAUCAGUGGCUGGUCUGAGAGGAUGACCAGCCACACUGGGACUGAGACACGGCCCAGACUCCUACGGGAGGCAGCAGUGGGGAAUCUUGCGCAAUGGGCGAAAGCCUGACGCAGCCAUGCCGCGUGAAUGAUGAAGGUCUUAGGAUUGUAAAAUUCUUUCACCGGGGACGAUAAUGACGGUACCCGGAGAAGAAGCCCCGGCUAACUUCGU